rnacentral:rRNA from 1 species
UCUGCCCAUCAGACGGGGACAACGAUUGGAAACGAUCGCUAAUACCGGAUAGGACGAAAGUUUAAAGAUGCUUCUGGCAUCACUGAUGGAUGAGCCUGCGGCGCAUUAGCUAGUUGGUGGGGUAAAGGCCUACCAAGGCGACGAUGCGUAGCCGACCUGAGAGGGUGAACGGCCACACUGGGACUGAGACACGGCCCAGACUCCUACGGGAGGCAGCAGUAGGGAAUCUUCGGCAAUGGGCGAAAGCCUGACCGAGCAACGCCGCGUGAAUGAAGAAGGCCUUCGGGUUGUAAAAUUCUGUUAUAAGGGAAGAAAGGUGAUAGGAGGAAAUGACUAUCAAUUGACGGUACCUUAUGAGAAAGCCACGGCUAACUACGUGCCAGCAGCCGCGGUAAUACGUAGGUGGCAAGCGUUAUCCGGAAUUAUUGGGCGUAAAGAGCGCGCAGGUGGUUAAUUAAGUCUGAUGUGAAAGCCCACGGCUUAACCGUGGAGGGUCAUUGGAAACUGGUUGACUUGAGUGCAGAAGAGGGAAGUGGAAUUCCAUGUGUAGCGGUGAAAUGCGUA